UAAGAAUCUGCUUUCUAGAAUCCGUUUUCUUUCUUUUCUACUCCUGUGGAUAUUUCUUUUUCUCUCAUUCAACAAAUGCCAUCGAUUUCAUUUGCGAAAACCAGCUCUGAGUACAAGUAGAGAUUUUGGUUCAGACUCAAGAUUAACCCACGUUCUGUAUUUGGCUAGAGACUGUAACAGGAGCAUGGUCUCACCUUGAAGUUUACUGCGUUUUCCGCGAUCGAUUUGUUGAGUAUGUUUUGGAAGAAUUUUAGAAGGCUACAGGUGAGUUUGUUAGGCCCAUAGGGGCAUCCCACAAAUGUGGCUACCCGCGGAAGACCGUCCGGGACGGUGGCUGAUAUCCUGACUAUCCUAACAUUAGAGACUGGUCCUCACAAGUAGCAUACGUGAAUUUUCUUCAGCAUCCCUUGACGAUUAUUUCAUUUCUAGUGUUUCAAAUGAAUUGGGAAAUGUCAAGCUUUAUAUUUAUAUUUUCUGAAUUUGAAAUGCUCAACUCUUUAGCUUGAUUUACAUUUCAUUCGUCGUUGGUACAUUAUUUCGUUACCCCUACUGGGCUGUGGCUCACCCCGUUUUGGUUUUGUUUUCCACGGAGUACGAAGCGAGGUUGAGGCAGUAAGCUUGGGAAGAGCUUGCAGCCAGGAGCUUGAGCAAAAGUUGGUAUUUUUGCUUGUCUAUAAUGUGUAUAUCACGGGGUUAUCUGGGUGGUUUUUAAUUUCUUGCUUAACCCAUGCUUGGGUAGUUUAUUUUGCUGUCGUCCCAUGUCAUUUUGAUGUGUUUUGCUAUUGUAUAUAUGAGGGGAUUUAGUAGAAAGCCCUUGCAUGGUUUGCAAGGAAAACUUUGUUAUGCCGAAAUCGAACAGUCUGCAUCAUUUUUUUGGAUCUACUGCAUAUGAAACUUGUCUUGAUGUCAAUUCAAAAAGUGCUGGCAUGUAGAUUGUGGAAUGUUUUGUUUUGCUUUAUAUAUAAAUACUAUGAUCUUGCAUAAUGUUUAAUUUUCGAAGCAUCCAAGAUUGCUUGUAAAAAUAAUUUCAUUUUUCUUUUUAUAUAUGUUCUGUAGUCUAGUCUAAGUUUGAACUGAACACUUUAUUAUUAAGAGCAUUUGACUACUAUGUCUGAGUCAUAUGGAAUAGUUUAUUGAAUGCCUCAUAGUAUGUAUGUUUUGGGAAUCUCGUUCUUAUGUAAAAAUGAUUUGAAAUAAAAUAAACUAGUGUACUGCUUAA